rnacentral:rRNA from 1 species
UACGUAGGGCGCAAGCGUUGUCCGGAUUUAUUGGGCGUAAAGAGCUCGUAGGCGGUCUGUCGCGUCGGCUGUGAAAACCCGAGGCUCAACCUCGGGCCUGCAGUCGAUACGGGCAGACUAGAGUGUGGUAGGGGAGACUGGAAUUCCUGGUGUAGCGGUGAAAUGCGCAGAUAUCAGGAGGAACACCGGUGGCGAAGGCGGGUCUCUGGGCCAUUACUGACGCUGAGGAGCGAAAGCAUGGGGAGCGAACAGG